AUCACUUCUCAGAAUUGGCAUAAGAAAUGUUCCCUGACUCAAAGAUUGCAUCAGUAAGGCUACGUCUACACUAGGACAGAUAAUUUUCUCCAGGGUAUUUUGCUGACUAUUUUUAUACCUGUCCACACUUCGUUUAAGGUGCAUUUAAGGCCCUGCCACUUCUGCAAGGUACACUUGCAUUUCCGCAAACUACGCAUGCAUAGAAAGGAAAAGCCUAAUGUGUUACGUCAUCGCCCGCACGGUUUUACCUCUGAACCGGAACGGCAAAUUUCGAAAUUACUACACAUUCGAGACUGUCAUUAUUUUGUGAUCAGUUUUUUUCUUGAUCACAAAUGAACGCAUCACGCAGGAGCGACAGUGAAGGGAGAGCACGCUCGGCUUUUCGCACUGAAAACAGCGACACCUUGACAUCCCUUCGUGAGUAUCGGAAUGUUGUACGGAGACAGCAGUCCAUAUUGGGCGGCGCGUAGGCGGUGAAUAACAUUACCAGCCUACAUUAUCCGUCUAACAACUAAUCCGGAUAAUAGGCAUACUAAUGUAGCCGACAUGCGGUAUAGUCCAACUAAUUACACGUUUAAGCCAUUAUCCGUCCUAGUGUAGACAUAGCCUAAGUUCAUUUUAUCAAUUGAUCUUUUUAAUUUAUAAUUGGACACACUAACGAACGACCUUCAAGUCAAACUGAAUUGCGAACUGAAGUGCCAUGAAGUGUAGCCAUCAAAAGACAUGAUAGAAAUUACCAAAAGUGCUACGUACAAUUAUACCAAAAGUCACUGUUAAAUUUGAGUAAUCAUGAUGUAGUUGAAGAUAUUGUUCUUUGAUUGCACCAGGUUAUACUGUAUGUUACAAUAUUACCAAUAAAUUCAAAUUUUUUUUUUUUUAAAUUGAGUUUUAUUUUUGUUUCAUAUUGCACACUAUAUACAACGCUGUAAGAUUAGUCACCAAUUUGUAAGCGCAUACGUCACUAUUUGCAAGAUUGCCAACGGCCUCGGGUUGACAGGUAUGGGAACCCCACAUGUGAAUUUGGUUCGUUCGGACUGAUGGUUUCCGUUUGACACAAAGCAAUCCCUAUCAUGGAAGUAAGAUGUGAACCACUGAAAAACAGUGUCAGUGACCCUUACACACUGUUCCAAUCUGCUGAGCAGUAUGUUGUGAUCAACCGUGUCGAAUGCGGCGCUGAGAUCCAAUAGUAGGAGAACAAAUGAUUUGCCUGCGUCAGUAUUCCAACGAAUAUCAUUUAGGACUUUGAUAAGCACAGUUCCUGUCCUGUGUUGUGGCCAAAAUCCAGACUUAAAUGAGUUUAAAAAAAAUAUUGUUUUGCAUCAUAAAAGCCUGGAUCUGUUCAAAAACAACCCUCUCGAUAAUUUUCCCCAGGAAUGUCAGAUUUGAUAUUGGCCUGUAAUUACUAAUGGUUGAGGCAUCCAGAUUAGGUUUUUUUAGAAGAGGUUUUAUCACUGUAGUUUUUAAAGUCUGUGGGAAGGCUCCUGUUUGGAGAGAAGUAUUUAUAUUUUGAAGUACGUCUGGGCUAUGCAAUAAAAAACGGUUUUGAAAAAUUUUGAAGGAAAGAUGUCAAGGCAGCAAGUUGUGGGCUUUAAUUUUGACACAGUCCAAGAGGCCAAACUGUCUAAGGUUGACUUGGGGUACAGUUUGGGAAGCAGUUAGUUUAGGAAUUGUUGAUCUGGAGCUGCACACAAUCUGUCUAAUCUGUAGUAGUUUGUAAAGAAUGCUGCGAAAUCAAUACAGGGCACCUCAGAGAUGCCAAUUCCUGUGGUAAUGAUGCUUGUGGAUUAGUCAGUUUUUCAACAACAGAAAAUGGUGUGCGUGUAUGUUUCUACUAAUGAUCUCUGAAAAAUACGACUGCUUUGCAUUUGUCAGUUCCUGGUUGUAUUUGCGAAGACUCUCUUUGUAGAUGUCAGUAAAAAAAAAAAAAAAAAAAAAAAAGAACAACAAAAGUUUUUUUAUUUUUUUUAACCAUGAACGUUUGUUCAAAAUUUUGAAUUAUGAACUGUGAACUGAACAGUUCAUUUUGAGAUUUGUGAACUGUAAUUUGAACUAGUUAAUAUAGAAAACAAACUUUCCUAACACUGUUUAUUUAUUUAGACAAUGUUGAGUGGUCUUAAGACAAAUGUCUAUUUUUUUGCAUUCCAGGAUAGUCAAGAGAUUUUUAACAAGUUUGUAUUUAUUGUGUAUGUUAAUAUACGUCAUUUAUGUUUAAAUAUUAUAUUAUUAAUGAUAUAUUAUUUUUAAAUAUGCUCAUAAAAUUAAGACAUUUAUUCUGAAAGUUACCAAAGUUUUUCUUUUAUUGGUUUUCAAAACAAAGGUUGGAAUCGAACGGUUUAGCACCUGAACAAUACACAUGAAAGUUAAUAUAAAUUAAAACAGAUUUAUUUGCACUGAUUGUUUUGCCUCCCAAUUAAUUAGUUUCAUAGUCGUGAGAAAUGUAAGCCUGACCUCCGUUCCGCCAAUCUGUUUGGUCUAAUUAAUGUCCUGUCCCCAGCAAAAUGUGUACAUGCAGGUUAUACUGUUAUAUGGUCCCUACCAAUGUUUAGACCAAACCUAUGUCCUGGAUGAGAGACAUGUCCAAAAAUAGUAUGACGGGUAAUUGGAAACUGUAAUUCUUCUCUCUGUGAUCCUUUUCCACAGCCAGUUGAGCUAUUUAAUUGAAGUGUUUGGUGAGAAAUUUCUACCUUUUCUAUUUCUAGCUGGCUUCCAAUUUUUGGACACCAGUGUUUCACGGCAGGGUCAUUUUUUAAAUUGGGUGCCAUUUAUGCCCUCAAAUUAAAUUGAGAUGCAUUUCCACUAUAGUGGGACAAACACUCAUUUAACAUGUUUUUUUUUUGUGAAUUAUGAAUUGCCAUCUAUUACAAAUGCGAUGGUACAGGCUUCUAAAUUUUUAAAUGAAUUGACUUUUGGUAAAACAAUUUUGCUAUGUUCUCAGUGUGUUUCAUUCAAAUUCAGUCGAUAAAGUAAUGAAUAUAAGUAGAAAGAAUUCCCAAAUAGUUAUGAUUUUAUUGUCCUCAAUAAACUAUCCUUAAUCAUGUAAUUACCUGGGUCUUUCCUUUGGAAAGAACAGGUAUAUGUUGUUCUGCAACUUUAUCAUACUUAUUAUUAUUACCUGGGUCUUUCCUUUGGAAAGGCCAAGGUUAUGAUGUUCUGCAACUUUAUCGUACUUAUUAUUACCUGGGUCUUUCCUAUGGAAAGGCCAUGUAUAUGCUGUUUCUCAACUUUAGCCUACUUAUUAUUAUUAUUUAUUUAUUACCGGGUCUUUCCUAUGGAAAGGCCAGGUAUAUGCUGUUCCUUAACUUUAGCCUACUUAUUUCUUCCAUAUUAUUACCUGGGUCUUUCCUAUGGAAAGGCCAGGUAUAUGCUGUUCUGCAACUUUAGCCUACUUAUAUCAUAGUUUAUUAUUAGGUAAUGUUGUCCUGCAAAUUAUUGUACCUAUUAUUAUUACCAGAGUAACGCGUUACUGUAAUCUGAUUACUUUCUUUCAGUAACAAGCAAUCUAAAGCGUUCAUUUUUCCAAGCCAGUAAUCUGAUUAAAGUUGGUUUCCUCAGUGCCUGUGCGUUACUAUUUUGUUGUUGCCUCAUACUGUAUGUAGAAUAAAGAAUACUGUUGUCAUGUACGAAGAGCAUUUGAAUAGAAAAUAGCGCUCUUGAGUUUGGGGAUGACAUUACAUCUCACGUUUUCUCAUCGGAAAAAAACGGGUCACGUGUAUUACCAUGCUGUGUACGCGCCGCCAGCCACGGCGGUCAACAACAUAGCCUGGCUAUCUAUCAGGAUGCUAACAGUAAAGGAGCUGGAGAGAUACAACAAAUGGCUGCAUUUUGUCACUGGAGAUACAGCCAUUACCUCACAUAUCAGUCCAGUAAAGAUGACAAAAAUAUCUCAGUGCGUUGCAAACUCUGCGCUGGCUCAGAAAGACUGCUAAAAACUCGACAUCCAAUUCAACAAGGAAGCACUUGGAAUUACAGCACAACGCGAAAAAACUCGUAACAAAGCCGACAGGUAGCGAGACAGCACUUCUACAGUUUGUAACCAGCCUUUAUAAUAUUUGUAAUUAUGUACAUUUUAUAGUUAGAGUUUUUAAUCAUAGGCGGAGUUUUACAUUUGUGGGACCGGGGAAAAAGCAUGUUGAAUACUCUGAAACAAAAGACAAAAGUCUGGACACACUUAAUAAUUUUUGCGUUUUAUAUAUUUUCACAACUAUUUUAAGUUCUCACUUCAGACAUCAAAACUAUGAAUGAACAUGUGGAAUGGCAAAAAAGCGAAAUAACUGAAAACAGGUUUUGUAUUCUACAUUCUUCAAAGUAUCCACCUUUGAGGAGUCUCCAAACUUAUGGCCAAUAUUGUAUAUACACAUCUUGACAUUGUUCGAGUUGAAUCAACUGUUCAAGUUGUUGUUGGUUGCGUUUGAAAGCUUAGACUUAAAGAAACUCUAAAUAUCUAUCUUACCUCCUCUGGUGUAGUUUUGGCUAAGCAAAUGAUUUUGACCCAUUAUGAAAACUUUAGGUUGUAGGAUUUUUGUUCAUUUCAUUAAUUUUUGUUGUUUGUUUUAUUGCUUUACAACUUUUAUAGACAACAUUUUAACGGCUAGGUCUUUAUUUCAAAGGGGAAGUUCAGAAUUUUUUACAUUAGGCUUAAUCUUGGAGUUAGCGGGGGUUUAAUUAGUCGUUGGAGUUGAUUUAAAAAAUUCCGUGCAGUUUGUGAGUUAUUUGUUAGUUUAGAGCUCCGGAAUAGCUAAGCUAGGGCGAGUCAAUGGUGGUGGAAAUCAACUCCAUCAACUAAUUAAACCCCCGCUAACUCAAAGAUUAAGCCUAAUGUGAAAAACUCAAUUACAAGCGAUGACAUUUGUCUGUUAUUUUUAUGUUGAGGCAGCAAAAGGAGAAAAAUUGGUAAAAAGUAACUGAUAAGUUACUUUUAAGUAACUUAGUUAUUUUGAUAAUAAAGUAAUCAGUAAUUAAAUUACUUUUUUAAGUAAUCCGUGACAACACUGAUUAUUACCUGGGUCUUUCCCAAAGGAAAAGCCAAGGUAAUGUUGUUCUGCAACUUUAUUGUACUUAUUUAUUUAUUAUUACUAUUACCUGGAUCUUUCCUUUGGAAAGUAUAUGUUAGGUAUAUGUUGUUCUGCAACUUUAGCCUACUUAUAUCAUAGUUUAUUAUUAUUAUUACCUUGAUUUCAAAUGGGAGAAUUUCCCAUUCUCUUACAAUGGGAUUUCCAAUUGAUUUUUUUUUUUACAUUGCAUUGAUGCCAUUGACGGCCAUGCAUGUCGAAGCUAUUGAUGCCAAUAUACUUUCAAUUGACUAUAUGGAUGUCGAAGCCAUUGACGGCCAUGGACGUCCAAAAUUUUUCCCAUUUUCAAUGGGGAAAAAACAAAAUUCAACAGAAAAUGACCAGAUAUCAAUAGGACGUGUCCCCCAAACGUCCCCGACUCCAUUGACACUUUAGGCAAGGCAAGGCAAGGCAAAUUUAUUUAUAUAGCACAAUUCAACAAGGCAAUUCAAAGUGCUUUACAUCACAUGAAGACCAUAAAAAUCAUAUUUAAAUCAACACAACGUAAAAACCAAGACAAAUGAUCACAUCUAAUCACAGAAUAAAAAUAAAUAAAUAAAAAUAAAGCAAAAACUACUACUACUAAUAAUCAUUGAAAUCAGCAAUGGAGAUAAGCACAAUAGGAAUAGAAGGCAGGUAGGUUGAAAUAUAUAGACAGUUAUGGAUAUGCAGUGCCAAACAAAAGCGUUUUUAGCCCUGAUUUAAAGGAGCUAACAGUUUGAGCAUACUUCAGACGUUCGGGUAACUUGUUCCAGAGGUGAGGAGCAUAAUAACUAAAUGCUGCCUCACCCUGCUUGGUUCUUGUUCUUGGAACAUGCAGAAGACCCGUUCCAGACGACCUUAGGGGUCUAGAUGUCUGAUAGGAAUCUAACAAGUCAAGCAUGUAUUUUGGUCCAAGGCCAUUAAGUGUUUUGUAGACGAGCAGUAGUAUUUUAUAGUCUAUCCUAUGACUCACUGGAAGACAGUGUAGCGAUUUCAAAACCGGUGUAAUGUGGUCCAGCUUCCUUGUAUUUGUGAGGACUCUGGCUGCAGCAUUCUGUACUAGCUGCAGCUUCCUGAUAGAUUUUUUAUCAAGACCUGUAAAUAUACCGUUGCAGUAGUCCAAUCUGCUGAAAAUGAAUGCAUGCAUAAGUUUUUCCAUGUCUUGUUGAGUCAGAAGCCCCUUAAUUCUGGUUAUAUUUUUUAGGUGGUAAUAAGCGGAUUUAGUGACGGACUUUAGAUGGCUAUCAAAUUUUAGGUCUGAGUCAAUAAUUACGCCAAGGUUUCUGACUUGAUUUGUAGCUGUUAGUGACAUUGUGCUAGGGGGUGCUGCCAUUGACGGCCAUGGACGUCCAAAUUUUUCAUUCAUUUCUCAUGACAUUUUCUUUGUUUAAUGCCAUUGACGGGCAUGUUUCUCCAUUGUAUUGAUGCCAAUGUACUUGGAUUCCAUUGACGACUGGAAUUUCCUAUUCAUUUCUCAUGGCAUUUACUUUGUUUUUUGCCAUUGACUGGCAUGUUUCUCCAUUGUAUUGAUGCCAAUGUACUUGGAUUCCAUUGACGCCUAUGUAAGUCGAUGCCAUCGACAGCCAUGGACGUCCAAAAUUUUUCCCAUUCAUUUUCAAUGGGGAAAAAACAACACUUCCCCAAAUCAAUACAAAAUCACCAGAUAUCAAUAGGACACUCCCCCAAAUGACCAUAUAUGACCAGGCCACGCCCCCAAAUCUUCACAAAUGUCCUGAUUUGACUAGGCCACGCCCCCCAAACGUUGCCAAAUGACCUGAUGACUAGGCCACGCCCCCAAAUUUUCCCAAAUGACCUAAUAUGACUAGGCCACGCCCCCCAAAUUUUCCCGAAUGAUCUGACUAAAUGUCCACAAACCAUCCUUUCGGUACAUUUUCGGUACCGUAAAAAAACAAAAUGCAAAAUAUAAGCGUGCUAGUUGUUUUAUUGCAUACUUUUGUGCUUUCAACAAUAGGAACAUUAGCCUAUACAAAGCUAGAAUUCUGCUCAAAAAGUAGCGGGUAUUUAAAGAUAAUCCAACAACAAUUUGCCUGUCAGACCCCGCGUAUUGGUCAGCUUUCUUUCUGAAAGAAAGAAGAAUAGAAUUUUAACAUGUAUUUUACAAAUGAAAUGCCUCAAUGAAUUUUUUUUUCUUAUGAAUGGUUUUCAGAAGCUUUAUUGGUGGAUUUUCUCAAGUUAAAGCGCCACACAGAAAUUAAUAAAUUUAAUUGUGUAAGCAGGAUGUGUGUAUUAUUCUUAUUACUUAAUUACAGGUGUUUUAGCUCAUUUCAAUUUAUUUUAUUUAAAUGGGCUAUUAUUUAUUUUAUAUGUUUAUAUUUUACAAAUGUGAUGUAGUAUCCAUUUAUAUUGUAUAUUUUAUGUUGUAUAACUUCAGUUCCUAUGUGAAUAUUAGUUCCUACUUGUUUUGUUGUGGUAGGAGGGCUUUGUAUUGAACACGGGGCCGUGUUGGUUAUUAUCAUAGCAGAGAAGACAGCCGUAAAUCAACAAAGACAAGUCAACUGUGCCCUGAUCUACCACUCAAGAGAUCUGAUGGACUCAAAAACAUCUAGUGACCAGAAUUCUAUUACUGCCAGUCAAACCAAUUACAUGAUGACAAGAGCAAGGCAAGCAUCCAGUGCUGCCACAGCCCCAGCUAACGAGCACUCUGCACCACAGCAACCGUUCAGUGCUGCCACAGCCCCAGCUAACCAACGCGCUGCAUCACAGCAAGUGAUGACAAUUACUGACCUGGAAAGUGAUGCCUCAGUGAACCAGACUCCAGCUAGCAAUGACAACUAUGCUGCCUACCUUUCAAUUGUGGGGUCCAUCUCUGGCCCUUCUUCUGAAGAUGAAGAACUAAACCAUGCUAUUUUGGCCAGUCUUCAGAGUGUUGUGUAAGUAAAUUGUCAGUAUGAUGUGUUUAAGUAAACUAAUUGCAGAUAAACAGUCACUCUUCUGUUAGUUGUGAAUCAGACAGAUCUAUGCCUCAUUUCCCAAAGUAUCUAAAAUUUAGGACGAUCUUUGCUCAUUAACAUCCAACUACAAUAAACAGCAGUCACCAGAACUCCUGACUGGAAAAAACACCACAGUUUGUAAGCUAAGCCCUGUGGUUCUGUAGAGGGGGUCAAUACCUCAAAUAAUUUGGUAAUAACGUGUAGUGUUCAUUUGAUUUCUAGGCACCUAGAUAACUCAUCUGCUCAUACUUGGUUACCGUAUUUUUUCGGACUAUAAGUCACAUUUUUUGGAGAAAUUUACUUGAUAAAAUACAACACAUAGAACAGAUGUGUCAUCUUGAAAGGCAAUUUAAAAUAAAAAUACAAUAGAGAACAACAUGCUGAAUAAGUGUACAGUAUGACAAUGUUACAUGAUGCAUGAACAACGAAAUGAACGUGGCUGGUAUGUUAACGUAACAUAGCUAUUAAGAGUUAUUCAAAAAACUAUAGCAUAAAGAUGUUAACAAGUUUACCAAUCCAUCAGUGUCACUUCAAAACACCAAAAUAACACCAAAAUAACAUUUGAAAUGAUUUAACAAUGUGUUCACAAUUUCACACAUAAGUCGCUCCAGAGUAUAAGUUGCACCCCCAGCCAAACUAUUAAAAAAAGCCCUAUGACUUAUUGUCCGAAAAAUACGGUAAUUUGAAAUGCCCUCCGGCAAAAGAAGUAAAAAAAUAAAAUGAAUUUUCAGGUGCUUAAAUACCACAGUUAGAUGUAAACCUGCUAACUCACUUCCCCAUUUUAAGAUAUUUUGUGGAAACGGGCCAUCCACAAUAUACAGUACACAAAUAAACGUGUAAACGCUGGAUUGUUUUUUCUUUUUUUAUAUCCACACAAACCAUUUUAUGGUUGAGCAUUGCCAGUUGUGAGAGGAUAAUGCAUUGUCUGUGAAAUAUAAUUUUAAUGUAAUUUUCAUCUUUCUCAACAGUGAAUCUGAGCAUUCAAAAACUAAAUCACCACAGGAGGUGCUUCAUGUAGAUAUGGGUACCUCUCAAGUUUAUGUCUGUAUAGGAAUUGUACAAAUACUGGUUUAGGAAAAAGUAUUUGCAGACACUUACUUACAGUACAUUCAUUAUCAUCAGAAGAAUUUGGAUUUGUCACCAACCUAUGGCUCAGUACCGUCUAUACAGCCCAUAUGUAAUUUCAUAUUCCUUAUAUUGUAUCUUUUUCAUGUUUUCCUUGGUGCCUUCCUUUUUACAAUUUCAUCCCUUUGAACUGUGUUGUUUCAUAUGCAAUCUAAAAAAAAAAAAAUCACAUCUUUAAUUUCUUUCUUGUGAGUCUUUUUAUAUGGUACUUAAACAUUGAUCCAUCAUAAAAUGAAUUUAACAUAGUUCUCUAUGUUGUUUGUUUUGUUUUGUUUUCUGUGUUAGAGCAAGCAGGACCAUCAAAGCUAGGUAUAAUCCUAGCCUUUGCAACAGGAGCAAAUACCAUCCCUCCAGUUGGCUUUUCCACUCAGCCAUCACUUGAGUUCCUGCAUGAUCAGUCCAUCAGCACCAGAUGUCGUUUGCCCAUGGCAAACAACUACAUCAACUGCCUUAAGUUACCACUGGUUGACACAUAUGAAGAGUUCAUUGAAAGUAUUGACUUUGCAUUAGGAAACACACAAGGUUUUGGGAGAGAAUAAAUUGCUUUACUAGAAAAAAAGCAGAAAGAAAGGCUGUCAUUUGUUGUUGGUUGCCUAAACAUUCAAUGUUUCAAACGGUUUAGUUGAGAUACUUGGAUUUUACUGUUCACAAAGAAAAUUCACCAGGCCGAGAAAUAAAUCAAUACCAUGGUUGUCGUCAUUACUCAAUGGGUCCUCUGCCAUUUGAAUUCUGUUCAUUAAUGUUUGAUUGACAAUAAAGUCAUUUUGUGGAACAGUAAUAUGGUUUUCAGUUUCUAUCUGUUACAGGGUAUAUUCAUUUAUUUCGAUGGCGUCACUUCCUGCAAAAUAACCCCAACCCUUCCUAAAUUGCACCAUCUCCAGCACUGUUAAGGACCCCUCUCUGCCACAGUUGGAGAGGUGUUUGUCCUCCUUGUGUUGAUAAUCCAUGGUGGUUCCACUGAUUUUGGAAUUCUGCAACUGCUCUUUGAAUUCUUGGCAAAUAGAUGUAGUGUAGACAAAAUAAGUGGAGUUCAUCCGUGGAAUCCAAUAUUCCCUCAUUUUCCAUUAAGGUGAAGUGAUAACUGAAGUGGUAGGAGACAACUCUAUUUAGUUCAGCCCACAACCGUUCUAUUCGCUGAUUGUGGACACUGCGUCCUGUUAUACAAUGCCUUGCAAAAGUAUUCG